CCCUUUUCUGACUUUUUACCGUGUCCUUGUGUUAUUAUUGUUGUCUCUGCGAAGACUAAAUAGUAUCAGAACCCAGGAAACUCUCUUGCUUUCUAAUUCAUUGAGGUUUGUCUUUGCCCUAGCUCUUUUUGGUGAUGUCUUAGUGUAUUCUUGUGCUGCUGGCUUCCCCUCAUUAUGUUUCUCAGUCAGCAUGCUUCACAAUGGAUCCAGAAACCUUCUCAAGCCAAGCCUACUCAGUUCUUCUCACGGAAAGCACACAUACUCAUCUGCCCAGACUCCAGCCCAGUGUGCAGAGGAAAGGAUCAGGCAGCCUGAUUUUCUGCUGCUUAUUUGGACCUGUGGAUGCUUUUCUGAGGGAAGCUAAGAAACAAUCUUCAAAUUACUGUCAAAAAUCCAGGUACAGGAAGGCUGCUGUGAGAUCUCCCUGGAGCCUUCUCUUCCUCAAGCUGAAUAAACCAAAUUCUCUCAGCCUGUGGGAGAGGUGUUUCAGCCCUUUGAUCAUCCUCAUGAUCCUUGCUAACGGUGAAAUACAAUGGUAUGUGAAUAUCUCUUAGAAAGAAGAUUACUGUGGAAAUUAUGAAAGGCAAGAGACAUAGAAGAGGCAGAAGUAUGAAAAGAGUGUACAACUGCUAUUUAAUACUGCAAAUGAUGGUAAAAGACAGAGUUGGAAAUAGUCAAAUUUAGAAAACGGAAAAUUUAGAAUAGGGAAAGUGAAUAAAGAAUUACAUAAAUGUUCA
rnacentral:lncRNA from 1 species